rnacentral:tRNA from 1 species
GUUGAAGUGGCAGACUCUGGCCAUUGCAAUAGACCUAAGCUCUCUCUACAGGGGUUCAAAUCCCCUCUUCAACU